AUUGAAUAAUCAGCCAUCCACACGCCACAGUGAAACCCUAUGGAUGUUCUCAGUUCAAGCUUACCCAGUCAUCAGGCCCACAGCAAAGACUCUUCUCUUCAAUCCAUCCUCUGGAUAGCCACAAACAUCACCUUCGGAAACACAGAUUUGACCAAGUCAUUUCCCAUGACAUAUAAAAUGAAGCAUUCCACAUGUUUUCCUUCAAAGCUCACUUUCAUCUUGGAUAAAACUGAACCUUGCAAGUCACCAUCCAGGUUGAGAACAAAAACCAAGAACCAAAGA